rnacentral:misc_RNA from 1 species
AAUGGAUCUCUCUCUCUCUCUCUCCCCAAACCAAAAAGCUAAAAUAAUUAUAAUUGCAUUCGAAGGAGGAAAAAUAAAAUAAUUACAUCAUCUGGACUCCUAUUAGCACCAAUAUGAAGAUUUCCAAAAUGAACAUUUAAUAGUUAAAACCAUUACCCACCAAGUCAUCCUCCUCGCCACUGCUGUAAGAUUCAACCACUUGACUGUCAUCAUCAUCCUCAUCACCCUCGGUCACAAUCUCCAGUAUCCCAGGCCCCCCAUCAAAGUCUGCAUCAUCCAUGAUAAAGUCUCCGUCCUCUUCAUCAUCAAGCUCACUCAAACUAUCAUCAUCAUCCUCAUUGCUCAUAUCAUCAGUGUCACUCUCGCCAUCCCCAUCCAGGUCUGGACCCAGCAUAGGAUCUACAUCACCAUCAUCUUCAUCAUCAUCAUCAUUUUCUUUGUUAACCUCAGUAUCUUCAUCUCUUUUCUGAUCAUCUUCUGAACCAUUUGGAGCAGUUGCACAAGCUCUAGACUUCCAAUUCCAUCCAUGCUCCAGAGGUGGGGGAAUUACUGGUUGUGGAGCACUGUUAUUGUUCUCAGAGCCCCAAUUGGAUGAUUGAGGCCUGGUAUUUCCUCUGCCAGCAGGCUUCUUAGAAUCAAAAGCCUGAGUUGGCCAUGCAUUUGCAGACAUCCUACCUGAACCACCAUUAUUUCGCAUGCCUAGCUUUUGUACCACAUCUGGAUGUCCCCAUGCUUUAGAAAUAGAAUUCUGAGAACCCCAGGAUUUUGCAGCACUGCUUCCAGCUCUGUUCUUAGACUUCCGUGAUAUAACCUCCCAUUCUCCAUCAUCUUCUGCAGAAUCCAAACUAAUGCCUACUACACCUUGACCCAACCGCUCAACCUUAGGACUAGAGAUUUCUGAUGCAUUUUCCCCCCCAGAUGACGCAUUAUUACAAGUACCAGCAGUUGAAGUCCUUCCAACCCCUCCUCUUGAACUCAUCUUUGCAACCAAUGUGGG